rnacentral:lncRNA from 1 species
CAUAGUUUUGAUUACCUUCGUUUUCAAACACUUACAGCAUUUGUUUCCAAUAAAAGCAUGAUCAUGUGUCUGGAUCCACCUCAUUCUCCGGAUGUGGCACUGUGCAACUUCCGGCUCCUCCCCAAAGUCAAAAUAACGACCAAAAGGAAAUCUUCUGAAUCAAUUCAGGCCAUCGAGGCAGCCAACUGAAGACGGGAAGGCAGACUCCAGAGCUGCUGCUAAGGAAGAAAGUGGCAGGAACCAUGAGGGCUCUGCCCCGAGCUCCCUGGACCCACUUCCCUGCUGCUCCUCAGGGUCCCGGGGACGUUGUUAGAAGUCGCUGUGAACAUCUGCGCCCAGAGGGGAGCCCUGUCACUUCCUGCUCCCCACCGUGGUGACCAGACGCGCCCCGUGCUCUGACUCACCCGUCCUGCCCGGCACAGUGGCAGCUAAGAGGACACCCGUGCCCCGUCUGCUCAGCCCUUUUGUCCCCUGACCUGAACGUGUUUCCUGGAAGAAAAGAUCUUGGUUGUACACUGAAGGCCAGUGCACCCUACUACACAGCUGCUUCCUGGCGAGACUGAGGAACAUCAGCGCGAGCCUCAGCGCAUUUACUAAUUUCCCACUGAAACUAAGGCUUCAAAUGCGAGGGAAAUAAUCACUGACAUACCUGAUGGCCCCAGGAGGAAACAGGAUGGCUUAUUUCCCUGUGCACUGGAGAGCAGGCAGCAGCCCCCAGGAAGCCAUGUGAGCAGAUCCUGUCCCGGGGCCUUGGCACCUGCCACACCCCAAGAC